rnacentral:rRNA from 1 species
UACGGGGGGGGCAAGCGUUGUUCGGAAUUACUGGGCGUAAAGGGCGCGUAGGCGGUUUGCUAAGUUGGAUGUGAAAACUCUGGGCUUAACCCAGAGCCUGCAUCCAAAACUGGCAAACUUGAGUACUGGAGGGGAAAGCGGAAUUCCUGGUGUAGCGGUGAAAUGCGUAGAUAUCAGGAGGAACACCGGUGGCGAAGGCGGCUUUCUGGGCCUUACCUGACGCUGAGACGCGAAAGCGUGGGGAGCGAACCGG